rnacentral:lncRNA from 1 species
UGGGGUGGAAUCAUUUUAACUGUUCAAUCUCGAAGAACAAUAGCAAAAUGGAUUCUUUUAUUUUCAACAACCCAUUGGAAUGGUUAGCACAGCACACAUUUGACAUGGUCCUGAGCGAAGAAGGUUACAAUUUGUAUAAUGCUGUGUAUGCUGUGGCCCACACCUACCAUGAACUCAUUUUACAACAAGGAGAGACUCAGAAACUGGCAAAAGCCAAAGGAGUAUUCACUGACUGUCAGCAGGUGGCUUCCUUGGUGAAAACCAGGGUAUUUACUAAUCCUGUUGGAGAACUGGUAAACAUGAAUCACAGGGAAAAUCAGUGUGUAGAAUAUGACAUUUUCAUCAUUUGGAAUUUUCCACAAGGCCUUGGAUAAAAAGUCAAAAUAGG